ensembl:lncRNA SOX2-OT SOX2 overlapping transcript
GGGGACGCGGAGGAGAAGGAAAGUCGCUCAAGCAGUGGACAGAGCGGAGAAAGCGACUUCGGGUUGGUUGAAGGUGAAUGAAGGAGGGAAGAAAGGAGAGACAGAGAAAAUAUGGAUUUCCUCAUGGUUGUGAUUCCUCUUCACUCUUUUGAAUUUGGAAGGAUGGCAUACACAUCUGAAAAAUACCACUACUUCCUUCAUUGGACUGCAAGGUAUUUCUGUUUGGAAAAGUAAUGGAGUCCAGUCAACUUCAUUGAUCGCCAAGGACUGUCAAAAUUAUAAAACUUGCUGUGGAGCUCUGACAUGCCAGAAGCCGCUAGAAAAAGAAGUUUGACAUUCAGAAACUUAUCAAGAGGUUCUACUCUUUGGAUAGAGACCAAAAUCAUACUUUGAAAAAGCCUGACAGGUUUCUUCGGAAAAGUGGCCAUCCAUGGAAUGAAUGAAAUGUUCUCUUUCUAUUCCAAUCCAACUUAGAAAUAAUGUUUCAUUCAAGAUAAGGCUCGUGGCUUAGGAGAUUGUGACCUGGCUUGCAUCAUUCUAAGACUUCUAUCGUCUGUUUUCAAAACCCAAGGAGGACCUCCUUUUCUGUGUGAUAGUUCCUCAUGCUUUGCCAGCCACUGGGUCUUUAAGGAAGCUUGCCAAGAGUUCCCGGCUGGGAAGGACAGUUCGAGUUCAUCAUAGACAAUGAGCUGGCACCACAGUUUAAGUGACUCACCAACCUGGUUGCCCACUUCAAAAUGUCAAGAACCACACUAUCUAAUUGAAAGAACUGUGUUUUAGCAAAGUGUAAUUGGAUCGCCUGGCAAGAUCAUCUCAAACUAUGUCUCUGACCUUGCCUUUCAGUGGCUAUUUUGAGCACAAGAGGAGAAAGGAAAUGAUUCCUGAAUUAUAUCUUGUUUUUAAAAAUUAAGAUUAAUUAAUACUUGGUUUUAUGUUCAUUCCAUUGUAGGAACUUAGUGAUUAUUACAAAACAGUCAAAAUAGGUCAUAGCAAAAUGAACGUUUAAGAUUAGGUUAAAACAUUCCUCUGAAAUUUUAGUAUUCACUUUUGAAGUGUCAAUUACUAUAUUUCUGUAAUUUCUCAUUUUUUUCUUGGCUUAGAGUCAAGAUGAAAAAUGAUAUUUGAAUCAAAGACAUUGUUUUGUUAUAUAGCCACUCCUUUCUAAAAUGCAAAUCCACCCUCCCCUCACCAAUGCUUUAUUCUUUGUGCGCGCACACACACACACACACACACACACACACACACACACACACAGACAUACACAGAACCAGCACCCAAAUGGUAGAGGAGGUCCUUCCAAGACUUCUAGGACCUGGAUCAUGUAAGCAGUAGAUGAGAAAAUGAAGUAAGAGAUAUAGAGUAAUAACAAUAAAAGUCAAUGAUUUCAUUUUACAAAAAAGUCAUUGUGUAGUACUCAGAUAUUUUUAAGAGCAAGUAUUAUUAUGACUAAAGUAUAUUAUACUUCUAAAUUAUUAUGAUUCUCAUCUAAUUUCAAGCCACACAUAGGCGCCAUUUGAAAGCAUUUUGUGUUACAACCUAUCAACAAAAAUCAACUAAUAGUUUUAUAACGUGCAUAGGUUUAC